GGGUGAGUAAUGUCUGGGAAACUGCCUGAUGGAGGGGGAUAACUACUGGAAACGGUAGCUAAUACCGCAUGACCUCGCAAGAGCAAAGUGGGGGACCUUCGGGCCUCACGCCAUCGGAUGUGCCCAGAUGGGAUUAGCUAGUAGGUGAGGUAAUGGCUCACCUAGGCGACGAUCCCUAGCUGGUCUGAGAGGAUGACCAGCCACACUGGAACUGAGACACGGUCCAGACUCCUACGGGAGGCAGCAGUGGGGAAUAUUGCACAAUGGGCGCAAGCCUGAUGCAGCCAUGCCGCGUGUGUGAAGAAGGCCUUCGGGUUGUAAAGCACUUUCAGCGAGGAGGAAGGCGUUGUAGUUAAUAGCUGCAACGAUUGACGUUACUCGCAGAAGAAGCACCGGCUAACUCCGUGCCAGCAGCCGCGGUAAUACGGAGGGUGCAAGCGUUAAUCGGAAUUACUGGGCGUAAAGCGCACGCAGGCGGUUUGUUAAGUCAGAUGUGAAAUCCCCGAGCUUAACUUGGGAACUGCAUUUGAAACUGGCAAGCUAGAGUCUUGUAGAGGGGGGUAGAAUUCCAGGUGUAGCGGUGAAAUGCGUAGAGAUCUGGAGGAAUACCGGUGGCGAAGGCGGCCCCCUGGACAAAGACUGACGCUCAGGUGCGAAAGCGUGGGGGAGCAAACAGGAUUAGAUACCCUGGUAGUCCACGCUGUAAACGAUGUCGAUUUGGAGGUUGUGGGCAUGACCCGUGGCUUCCGGAGCUAACGCGUUAAAUCGACCGCCUGGGGAGUACGGCCGCAAGGUUAAAACUCAAAUGAAUUGACGGGGGCCCGCACAAGCGGUGGAGCAUGUGGUUUAAUUCGAUGCAACGCGAAGAACCUUACCUACUCUUGACAUCCAGAGAAUUCGCUAGAGAUAGCUUAGUGCCUUCGGGAACUCUGAGACAGGUGCUGCAUGGCUGUCGUCAGCUCGUGUUGUGAAAUGUUGGGUUAAGUCCCGCAACGAGCGCAACCCUUAUCCUUUGUUGCCAGCACGUAAUGGUGGGAACUCAAAGGAGACUGCCGGUGAUAAACCGGAGGAAGGUGGGGAUGACGUCAAGUCAUCAUGGCCCUUACGAGUAGGGCUACACACGUGCUACAAUGGCAUAUACAAAGAGAAGCGAACUCGCGAGAGCAAGCGGACCUCACAAAGUAUGUCGUAGUCCGGAUUGGAGUCUGCAACUCGACUCCAUGAAGUCGGAAUCGCUAGUAAUCGUAGAUCAGAAUGCUACGGUGAAUACGUUCCCGGGCCUUGUACACACCGC
rnacentral:rRNA from 1 species